CCUACGGGCGGCAGCAGUGGGGGAUAUUGCACAAUGGGGGAAACCCUGAUGCAGCGACGCCGCGUGUGGGAAGACGGUCCUCUGGAUUGUAAACCACUGUCCCCAGGGACGAAGAUGACGGUACCUGGGGAGGAAGCUCCGGCAAACUACGUGCCAGCAGCCGCGGUAAUACGUAGGGAGCGAGCGUUGUCCGGAAUUACUGGGUGAAAGGGGAGCGUAGGCGGGACUGCAAGUUGGGUGUCAAAUCUACCGGCUCAACCGGUAGCCGCACUCAAAACUGCAGUUCUUGAGUGAAGUAGAGGCAGGCGGAAUUCCUAGUGUAGCGGUGAAAUGCGUAGAUAUUAGGAGGAACACCAGUGGCGAAGGCGGCCUGCUGGGCUUGUACUGACGCUGAGGCUCGAAAGUGUGGGGAGCAAACAGGAUUAGAUACCCCAGUAGUC
rnacentral:rRNA from 1 species